rnacentral:rRNA from 1 species
AGAAUCAACGCUGGCGGCGUGCCUAACACAUGCAAGUCGCACGAGAAAGGGGCUUCGGCUCUGAGUAAAGUGGCGCACGGGUGAGUAACACGUGACUAACCUACCCUUGAGUGGGGAAUAACUUCGGGAAACCGAGGCUAAUACCGCAUAACACCUACGGGUCAAAGGAGCAAUUCGCUUAAGGAGGGGGUCGCGGCAGAUUAGUUAGUUGGCGGGGUAAUGGCCCACCAAGACGGUGAUCUGUAUCCGGCCUGAGAGGGCGCACGGACACACUGGAACUGAAACACGGUCCAGACUCCUACGGGAGGCAGCAGUGGGGAAUUUGCGCAAUGGGGGAAACCCUGACGCAGCAACGCCGCGUGGAGGAUGAAGUCCCUUGGGACGUAAACUCCUUUCGAUCGGGACGAUUAUGACGGUACCGGAAGAAGAAGCCCCGGCUAACUUCGCGCCAGCAGCCGC